rnacentral:lncRNA from 1 species
UUAGUUAUUAAAAGUAAUUAAUUAUAGGAUUAUGGUUAGAAUCUAGGAAUAGGAAGUAAGUAUAUAGGAGUUGUAGAAGCUAGUAUGAGUGCUAAACUGUGAUAGUCAUGAGCUGGGGUAAGCUUGGUGCUACCUCUUUGUUUCUUUGUUUUUUUGUUUUUAAAAAGUAAUGGAUAGUUUUUGAAUACUGAGAAGUGAGUCUGUGGAAUAAAUCAGAGAUUGAUUUAUGAGUUGUUGAUUAUGUAAUUGGAGCACUGAGUGAUUGAAUAAUAUGAGGAGUUAUUGAAAGAUUAUAAUUGUUGUUUAUUGAGAGCUGUAUAUGUUUUGAUAGAGGAAGUCUGUAAUUA